GACGUAGGGCGCGAGCGUUGUCCGGAUUUAUUGGGCGUAAAGAGCUCGUAGGCGGCUUGUCGCGUCGACUGUGAAAACCCAAGGCUCAACUUCGGGCUUGCAGUCGAUACGGGCAGACUAGAGGUAUGCAGGGGAGAACGGAAUUCCUGGUGUAGCGGUGAAAUGCGCAGAUAUCAGGAGGAACACCUGCGGUGUAGACGGCUUUCUGGACCAUUGUUGACGCUGAGACACGAAAGCGUGGGUAGCAAACAGG
rnacentral:rRNA from 1 species